CUUUCUCGUUUGGUCUGAACACUUUUGCUCGAGCAUUUCUUGGAGAAGGAUCGUUUAAUUAAUCCUUGUAUUUUGUCCUUUUAUUUAGCUUCUGCUAAAAUUUGGUUCUGCUAAAGAUGUAGUCGCUCAGAGCAAAGAUUUUCUAACAUCACAAGUUGUGAUAUCUAUUUUUAUUUUUAUUUCUUUUAUUUUUAAAUUUUCCAUGUAGAUGAUUUUUUUGUGAAUUGAUUUAAAGCAAAGUAAUCAUGGUGGAAAAUUCAGUCACCGUAAUUUAAUUCCAGUUGUUAAGUAUCUGAAUUUCUUUUUAAGUUUUUUUCUGGAAAUGUACAUUUUAUCACAUCCGAAAUCCGCUGUACAGCGGUCAUUGCAUCUCAUUGCAUCUAAUUGAAUAUCAUUGAAUCUGGUCGAAUCUCGUUGAAUCUUAAGGUAUCUAGUUGAAUUUGGAAUCACAAUCUUUGAUAUGGCCAUGGAAAAUUGUCAACAAAUCCGUUUGAAAAUAACUACUGAAAAAGGAACCAAUUCAUCACAAGUGUAGAAUACUUCAAGAGCUUCAUGUGUUUUUUUGCAAGAUAAGUGAAUGUCGGUUAUAAAAAAAAGAAUAGGAGGCCUCCAACUGAUAAAAAGGUAUUUACGAAUAGAAUAUACAUCAACAUCUUAUCAGAAUCCAGCAUAGUAGUAAUUGUAAAACCUAAUUUUCUUGUAUUUUGAAUUAUUCUUUUCUCUUACGUUUGUAUAUUAAAUUUACAUCAUGAUUACUAA